GACGUAGGGGACGAGCGUUGUCCGGAUUCAUUGGGCGUAAAGCGCGCGUAGGCGGUUUGGUAAGUCGGAUGUGAAAACCAGAGGCUCAACCUCUGGCCUGCAUCCGAUACUGCCCGACUAGAGGUAGGUAGGGGAGAUCGGAAUUCCUGGUGUAGCGGUGAAAUGCGCAGAUAUCAGGAGGAACACCGGUAGCGGAAGGCGGAUCUCUGGGCCUACUUGAACUGCGU
rnacentral:rRNA from 1 species